rnacentral:rRNA from 1 species
UACGUAGGGGGCAAGCGUUGUCCGGAAUCAUUGGGCGUAAAGAGCGUGUAGGCGGCCCGAUAAGUCCGCUGUGAAAGUCCAGGGCUCAACCCUGGAAUGCCGGUGGAUACUGUCGGGCUCGAGUUCGGAAGAGGUGAGUGGAAUUCCUGGUGUAGCGGUGAAAUGCGUAGAGAUGCGGAGGAACACCGAUGGCGAAGGCAGCCCCCUGGGCCAAUACUGACGCUCAGGCACGAAAGCGUGGGGAGCAAACAGG